UUCUCACACCAAAUGUUCGCCUAUAAAAGAGACCCGUCUUGGACACGCAACACCCAACAACUGAGUUCUGCAAGUUGCAAGCAACAUCCCAGCAGCCAUCAACAUGAACAAGUGCAGUGCUAUCCUUGCCCUAGCCCUCGUGGUUGUCCUGUGUCUAGUCGCCGUUGAAGCCCAGUUUGGAUACGGACGUGGCUUCGGUCGUGGCUACGGCGGAUAUGGAGGCUACGGCCGUGGCUUCGGUGGAUACGGUGGAUACGGCCGUGGCUUCGGUGGAUACGGUGGAUACGGCCGCGGAUACGGUGGAUACGGCCGCGGUUUCUAUGGCUAACUUUCAAGUUGCUAACACCCUCGCAGUCAAACACCCUCUCUUUAAUAAGACGGACGUUACCUAUGGACAGACAUCAACGAUUAUGGAGCUCGAGCCAAGUUCCCCAUCCCUCUUUCAUCACCGGCAAAAUUUCCGUUUGUGAAAAAUAAACAAUGUUCGAAGCAAUCGACCUAUA